AGUGAACGCUGGCGGUAGGCCUAACACAUGCAAGUCGAACGGCAGCACAGUAAGAGCUUGCUCUUACGGGUGGCGAGUGGCGGACGGGUGAGGAAUACAUCGGAAUCUACUUUUUCGUGGGGGAUAACGUAGGGAAACUUACGCUAAUACCGCAUAUGACCUACGGGUGAAAGCAGGGGAUCUUCGGACCUUGCGCGAUUGAAUGAGCCGAUGUCGGAUUAGCUAGUUGGCGGGGUAAAGGCCCACCAAGGCGACGAACCGUAGCUGGUCUGAGAGGAUGAUCAGCCACACUGGAACUGAGACACGGUCCAGACUCCUACGGGAGGCAGCAGUUGGGAAUAUUGGACAAUGGGCGCAAGCCUGAUCCAGCCAUACCGCGUGGGUGAAGAAGGCCUUCGGGUUGUAAAGCCCUUUUGUUGGGAAAGAAAAGCAGCAGGUUAAUACCCCGCUGUUCUGACGGUACCCAAAGAAUAAGCACCGGCUAACUUCGUG
rnacentral:rRNA from 1 species